AGUAUAGCUACUAUUCACAAAAUAUGAAAUCUACUGUGUAUAUACUUCAAUACACACAGGAUGAGACAUGAAUUUCUUUGGCAAUUUUUCCAAUCCCAUACAUUUCAAGAAAUAGAACUUGACCUUUCUCUUGCACAAACAGAUCAUCAUGUUGCCACUUACAAUGGUGCACUUCAAAUUAUGUACCUAGUCAACCAAGCAUAAUAGGAACUACAAACCU